GCGGAAGUGGCGGAAUUGGCAGACGCGCUAGACUUAGGAUCUAGUGUCAAACGACGUGGGGGUUCAAGUCCUCUCUUCCGCA
rfam:[Eubacterium] angustum strain DSM 1989 ETAN_contig000007, whole genome shotgun sequence.